AGGUCCUUUUCUCGUGGCAUCGCGAGUCCUAAAUGAAUGCCUUUGUAUUUCAAAUAAUCUUUUUAAGGAAGCUGCCCUGCCCUAAUAGCCCAAAUACAUCUUAGUUUUUGGUUACGAAACGAAAAACCGGGAUUUUUCCGAACUUGACUUUGCCCGUUCCGGAGGUGUUUGGGGUGGGUGGGAGAGAUCGUCCCCAAUACAGCAAGCCAGCACCCGAGGAGGAUAGGGGGCAUCAAUGAGUGGUGGUAGACUGGGAGCUGCGAGAGUCAAAACCUCAUUCCCCGCCUUGCUCUGAACAAAGCCCAGAAGAAGAUUUACUGUUCCAAAGCUACCUGUUUCCCCGCUUUAGGUGCUAUUUAGGGCGCCAGGAGAGGCGAGGAGGGGGCUGCACCCAAGCAGUGGGUGAGGUCUGGGGAGGGUCUGAGCUUUGGGCACAAAGAGAAACUCACACCCUUCGACGCUUAUGCCAUGGAGAGGAGAACAAUGAGUUAAUUAUCUUUGUACACGAGGAAAUCUAUUAGAGGAUGUGAUCUGCUCUUACUCGAGAAGGAGAGCGAAGCUUCCCCUGUGAGAACGCCGCUGACGCAUGUACGGGGGUUAUUAUUCUGAAACACUGGAGUUCCGAAAUAUCCUUGUCCUCUUGAGCUAUUAACAACGUUUAGCAUUUCCAACGCAUUUUGCAUUUAACAUAGAGCUGACGAAACGGACACAAAUUGGUGUUGCGAUUUUAUAUUGCAAUUCCAGCCUUUUCUUUCUUUUUUUUUUCUUCUCUCUUUUCUUUCUUUUUUCUUUUUUCUUUUGGGGGGGGGGGGGGGAGGAAGUUUUCUAUUUUUCCAGCAAGUUUUCGAACAAAUUAAAACCCGCUACGUUCAAGCUGCUAUUGAGAAUUUGUUAGAAAAUUGCCAACACUGGCUUAAUCAAUAACGUCUGGAGCAGCUAAUCCUGAACUGAACGGUCUGCAUAUUAAUGACAGUGUUGCUGACGACAUUUAUUUCAUUGACAAAUAGCUUCACACGGUUAUUCUCACGUUUCUGGUGGUCGAAUUGGGAAUUUCAGAUUUUAGCUUUCCUUUACAAAACCUCUAACAAGGUAGGAACAGCAUAAUGCUCGUUGGUGCAACUAUUAAGUUACAAUAAUCAGAUUUUUUUUUUAGGGGGGGGACAUUUUAUUUUUGAGCCGAUAUCUUUUAACUGCACAGUACUUUAAGUACAAAGUUAAGAAUUGCAUUAAAUAUUUCUUUCGUUGAAAUAGAAUCGACGUUAACAAGAACCAAAUUUCUUAAGCUUUCCACAGCAACACUGUGAACAUUUAAAACAGUAAUUAAUUUUUUUCAAGAAACACGAGCAAUAUUAACCAGAAAGAAGUUAAUCUGGGGGAGGGCACAUCCAGGAGCUUUCCUAUUUUAUCAUUCCCGAAUGGUAUACCUGCAUGUUAGUUUGCAGACAAAUUACUCUCGUUCUCAGUAAUAAUAUCUUGCUAACAUACUUGCUUUUUGUAAAUAUAUUUCCACAGAGGGCUAUAGAAUGCAAAGAUUACCAUUCAUAAGUAUAAGUAAAUAUAAAGGCAGAUGUAAUUUCCUUGUAACCACUGGACAAGGAUCGCCUGAAGCACCAAAGGGAAAGGCAACUUUUCUAUAGUAUAUGGAAUGAUUAAUAUCUAUUUUUUUGUAUAUCAAGUACUAUGUUCGAGGCCAAAUAUGGUGAAAGGCAAUAAAACAGCAAAAGAAAAGAAAGACUGUGUGGAAAAGAACCAAGGAGAAAAAGUGCAAUAUGACACCCACAAGAUGGCUGCUUUUCAUUCUUUUCAUAUGAUUAUAGACCAAUCUCUAUAGGAAAAUUAGUGGAAAAUGUUCUUUAGCAAACCAGCCAGAGGAACUACAAUUGCAUUCUCCUAACACCCUUUGUUACCUCCAAACCGUAGCAAAAUGUAUUAAACACUGUUAAGCUUAUAUACAUACAGCAAAACAUCAUACAUGUUUGUCUGAAGGAACGUCUACAGCACAUGAGAAUCAUCGUACUAAUAUCGACAAGUUUUGGAUGUGUGAGGAGGACAGAAAGACACAGGCGAAUCUGUAGCAUAAAAAAAAAUCCCUUCAAUAUAAUAGGCGGAAUUACAGUAGGUGUAUCCAACAACCACACCGUUUUAGCAGAUGAGUAAAAUACAGUGCGAAUAAUACAUAUAAUGCAUCUGAAAGGUCUACAGGGAGAUUUCUCAAAAUCGGGUAGAAAAUAUAUCUUUGUAUGACCAUACUAAUUCAUCUGGUCUUGGUCAAAAUCUACUAUUACUAAAAAUUAUAGAAAUAAUAUAAGGGUAACGUUUAACAUUGGAUCAGAAUUCCAGCGACUUUAGGCAAAAAUAAGGCUUCCGAAGAACAGUAAAUAGUUUGGGUUUUAGUCCAUUCUCCAAAAAUUUGUAGGUUACAAGGUUACUCUGUGGGCUGAGGCUACAAACAAAGAACAAAGCAAAUUGUUCAGUUUCAAUAGGAAAUAUAAUAAAACCCCCUUUAUCUAAAAGCCAUCAGGGACAAGCACUCAAUACAAGUUAACAAGCAGGAACUGAUAAGAUAACAUCUAUAUGAGGUCAGAAGUCAAAUGCCAGUCAAAGGCUUUUAACCUCUUGGGUCAUAAACAGGAAUAGUUAAAACACAUAGAUAGUUAUUUAUCUGAUUUUAAAGGUAUCUGAUCAUCGCGACUGAGUAAUUUGGAUUUACAGAAGAGGAACUCUGUCAUAGUGGACAUAAAAUGCAAAGCUUCUAGACUAUAAUGCUUUCUUUUAUUUUUUUUUUAUUUGCCUUUCUGUCUCUUGUUAAUCUAUAUGACCCAAAGCAGACAGACAACCAAAACAAUAAACAUUGUCUUAAAACGGCGCAUACCCAGUUAAUAAGUGGAUUGAUCUGUGCAACCCAAGGCUUGUCUAAGGAUUCAGUAGGCUAAAUAUUUACAGUCAACAUACAUAAAAGAACAAUAACCACCCUCCCUAUUGUGGUGUUAAUGCCAAUGGAGUUUUGUUUUGUUGCUUUUCUUCGAGUCCACUAAGGUAAAGAGUAAUCUAAUUUCACAGUAAAAAUGAAGAGAUGUCCCUUUAAAAAUGAUAAGAAAAAAAUCAAGCAGCAUCUGAUAUUAAAAAAUAUCUAAUGUUAAGUGCAUAAGUAUUUUGUGUGGAUUUGCAAAAGCUUAAAUUACACUUCUAACCUAUCCUCUAUGUAAUUUUUAUUUCCUCUUUCAGAUUGAGUCUCCAAAUUUUGUAACUUGCCUACAUUUUUGUUCAAACGUGCAUUUUGAAAGUAAUGCUUGAAAAAUUGCCAAAUAAAAUAUAAUAUUAACCCUCCAGGAGAGAAACAAGGAUUGACGGAAGGCCCUUCUAGGCCCACUGUUUCUUUCAACAGAGUUCACAAUACACUAGGGGAAUAUUGUGGAUUUAAAACAUUUUUAAAUAUUUAUAAGAAGUAUUUUAUCAACAUAUUCAAAUGACACUUGGAGCGCACUCACCUUUAUUGACAAUCUCUGCUCUGAAAGUCCAUUUGCUCCAUGAAAGCCCCCCAAGCAGAACAACAAGGACUAACCGUUUUGAUUCAGUUAAUGUUUAGUAAAAAAACCAAGCAACCUUAAUCAGCAUGCUGAUUGCAUCGCCAACUAACAAAUAAUUUACUACUCUGAGCAUUGCAUUCCAUUAAAAGCUCAUUAAAUUUUCUGUUCUCCAAUGGGAGCUUUAGCUUUUGAACUGCAUGCUUUUGCUCCAAAAUAUCACUUAUCCACACUUUUUUCACUCUUUUCUCCCCCCUUCCCCUCCUCCCUCCCCAAAGCAUAGGUGGGAAUUUCACUUUCUAGAUACACGAAAGCAAGAAAAAAUACAGCUCAGAUUUUCAUUUCUUUUGAAAAUUCAAGAUCUCUGGGUGUCAGGGGGUGGGCAAGAGGAAGAUUCUCGCUCGAGCAGUUUAGCUUUAGUGAAAUAUCCCUCUUCCACGGAGAGGAAUGGGCAAUGGUCAGUGAUUUAGGUGUAGGAAUUCUUUGAACAACUCGCGAGGGGGGGAGGGGAGAGAUAUAUAAAACACGGCAACAUUUUGUUCUUUAAGUUGGAAGCGAUUGCCUAAAGAGAAAGGAAAAAAGUCAAAAAACCUCGAACUCUUUCAAUUUUACUCAUGUAAAAAAAAAAAAAAAAAAAAAAAAAGAAACCA